UUGGUUGUACAAAUAACUGGUACAAACCUUUAAAGUGGUGUAUGUUUAAGUUAUUGAUUUUAAUUGUUUUAAACUUGGUAGCUAGCAAUCGAGAGUUCGAAUCUCUCACUCACCGCCA
rnacentral:tRNA from 1 species